GACGGAGGAUGCAAGUGUUAUCCGGAAUCACUGGGCGUAAAGCGUCUGUAGGUGGUUCGAAAAGUCCACUGUUAAAAAUUGAGGCUUAACUUCAAAGAUGCCGUGGAAACUUUCAAACUAGAGUAUGGUAGGGGUAGAGGGGAUUUCCAGUGGAGCGGUGAAAUGCGUAGAUAUUGGAAAGACCACCGAUGGCGAAGGCACUCUACUGGGCCAUUACUGACACUGAGAGACGAAAGCUAGGGGAGCAAAUGGG
rnacentral:rRNA from 1 species